rnacentral:rRNA from 1 species
CUCGUAGGCGGCUGUUCAAGUCGAACGUGAAAACUCGGGGCUCAACUCCGAGCCUGCGUUCGAUACUGGAUGGCUAGAGUCUGGGUAGGGGGAUCUGGAAUUCCUGGUGUAGCGGUGGAAUGCGCAGAUAUCAGGAGGAACACCGGUGGCGAAGGCGGGAUUCUGGGCCAGUACUGACGCUGAGGAGCGAAAGCGUGGGGAGCAAACA